rnacentral:rRNA from 4 species
AUACAUGCAAGUCGAACGAGUUCUCGUUGAUGAUCGGUGCUUGCACCGAGAUUCAACAUGGAACGAGUGGCGGACGGGUGAGUAACACGUGGGUAACCUGCCCUUAAGUGGGGGAUAACAUUUGGAAACAGAUGCUAAUACCGCAUAGAUCCAAGAACCGCAUGGUUCUUGGCUGAAAGAUGGCGUAAGCUAUCGCUUUUGGAUGGACCCGCGGCGUAUUAGCUAGUUGGUGAGGUAAUGGCUCACCAAGGCGAUGAUACGUAGCCGAACUGAGAGGUUGAUCGGCCACAUUGGGACUGAGACACGGCCCAAACUCCUACGGGAGGCAGCAGUAGGGAAUCUUCCACAAUGGACGCAAGUCUGAUGGAGCAACGCCGCGUGAGUGAAGAAGGCUUUCGGGUCGUAAAACUCUGUUGUUGGAGAAGAAUGGUCGGCAGAGUAACUGUUGUCGGCGUGACGGUAUCCAACCAGAAAGCCACGGCUAACUACGUGCCAGCAGCCGCGGUAAUACGUAGGUGGCAAGCGUUAUCCGGAUUUAUUGGGCGUAAAGCGAGCGCAGGCGGUUUUUUAAGUCUGAUGUGAAAGCCCUCGGCUUAACCGAGGAAGCGCAUCGGAAACUGGGAAACUUGAGUGCAGAAGAGGACAGUGGAACUCCAUGUGUAGCGGUGAAAUGCGUAGAUAUAUGGAAGAACACCAGUGGCGAAGGCGGCUGUCUGGUCUGUAACUGACGCUGAGGCUCGAAAGCAUGGGUAGCGAACAGGAUUAGAUACCCUGGUAGUCCAUGCCGUAAACGAUGAAUGCUAGGUGUUGGAGGGUUUCCGCCCUUCAGUGCCGCAGCUAACGCAUUAAGCAUUCCGCCUGGGGAGUACGACCGCAAGGUUGAAACUCAAAGGAAUUGACGGGGGCCCGCACAAGCGGUGGAGCAUGUGGUUUAAUUCGAAGCAACGCGAAGAACCUUACCAGGUCUUGACAUCUUUUGAUCACCUGAGAGAUCAGGUUUCCCCUUCGGGGGCAAAAUGACAGGUGGUGCAUGGUUGUCGUCAGCUCGUGUCGUGAGAUGUUGGGUUAAGUCCCGCAACGAGCGCAACCCUUAUGACUAGUUGCCAGCAUUUAGUUGGGCACUCUAGUAAGACUGCCGGUGACAAACCGGAGGAAGGUGGGGAUGACGUCAAAUCAUCAUGCCCCUUAUGACCUGGGCUACACACGUGCUACAAUGGAUGGUACAACGAGUUGCGAGACCGCGAGGUCAAGCUAAUCUCUUAAAGCCAUUCUCAGUUCGGACUGUAGGCUGCAACUCGCCUACACGAAGUCGGAAUCGCUAGUAAUCGCGGAUCAGCACGCCGCGGUGAAUACGUUCCCGGGCCUUGUACACACCGCCCGUCACACCAUGAGAGUUUGUAACACCCGAAGCCGGUGGCGUAACCCUUUUAGGGAGCGAGCCGUCUAAGGUGGGACAAAUGAUUAGGGUGAAGUCGUAACAAGGUAGCCGUAGGAGAACCUGCGGUUGGAUCAC